AGAGUUUGAUCCUGGCUCAGGAUGAACGCUAGCGACAGGCUUAACACAUGCAAGUCGAGGGGCAGCGGGGGAGUAGCAAUACUCCCGCCGGCGACCGGCGCACGGGUGAGUAACACGUAUGAAACCUGCCCGUAGCAGGGGGAUAAGCGGAAGAAAUUCCGUCUAAUACCGCGUAACAACCCUUGGAGGCAUCUCCUCGGGUUUAAAGGGAGCGAUUCCGGCUACGGAUGGUCAUGCGUCGCAUUAGCUUGUUGGCGGGGUAACGGCCCACCAAGGCGACGAUGCGUAGGGGUUCUGAGAGGAAGGUCCCCCACACUGGUACUGAGACACGGACCAGACUCCUACGGGAGGCAGCAGUGAGGAAUAUUGGUCAAUGGCCGCAGGGCUGAACCAGCCAAGUCGCGUGAGGGAUGACGGUCCUAUGGAUUGUAAACCUCUUUUGUCAGGGAGCAAAGGGCGCCACGUGUGGCGUUUUGCGAGUACCUGAAUAAAAAGGAUCGGCUAACUCCGUGCCAGCA
rnacentral:rRNA from 1 species